UCAAAACAGUAAAAGUAAAUGUGUCUGAAGGGACAUUAGUCGCCAUCGUUGAGGAAAACGUCUAUGGCGAUUCUUACAAUGCCUUUCGUGGAAUACCAUAUGCUAAACCUCCAGUGGGUGAUCUCAAAUUUCGAAUGGAACGAACCUAAAUUUACAAAUGGAGUGAUACAAAAAUAUACAGUUCAAUAUUGGUUUUUUGAGAAUCAAAUAAUUCAUAGAAGAGUUGUUAUAAUCAAAAAUUUCACGAUAUUGCAACUUAAAGUGUACAAUUUAAAACCUGAUAGAGUGUAUUAUUUCGAAGUACAAGCGCAUAACAAAUUUGGUGCUGGCUCUUAUACUAAGUUCAUCAACGUGUCGACCACGCAUGAGAAUCCAGUACCUUUAUUACUCAUCUAUAAGAUAUCAAGAUUGCAUGUACUGGAUAUAGAUUUAAAGAUCGGCUUUAAACGUGAUAUAUAUAAAUACUGUACUGAAAUCGUUUACUCAGCAUUGGAACACAAGAUUUAUGGGAUUACUGACGCAGAAAUAAUAACAUUGGAAUUUAAUCCGAAUGCAAUCGAAACAAAUCAAAAUUAUACAAUAAUAGCAGAAAUCGAGGACAAUGCAUAUUCUCUGUGCAUCGAUUGGAUUCGUGAAAAUCUUUAUUGGUUAGAAAAUACUAUUGACGGUACUUACAUUAUAAAACUGGACUUAAUAUUAGUACAACAAAAAGGCAUCAAAACAUACGAAAAAAUCGCACUGGCUGAAGAGAAUGCUUCAUUUUUAACAGUAUUACCAUAUAAGAGACAUUUAUAUUGGACAGUAGAUUCUUCAAUAGUGCAAACGGAUUUGAAUGGUAGAAACAAAUUAUAUAUGGCAGACAAUACAUGCUUCUGCCUCAAGACAUUUCUAGGAUUGCUACAAAUUGAUUACACUUUUAUGACGAUUGAUACAACGAAUAUUGACGAGCCGCUAAUAUAUUGGAUAAUAAACAAGGAAUAUUUAAUCGUCACGGAUAUUAAUGGUUGUAAUUGCAAUAUGAUUUUAAGAUUUCCAAAUCAAUUUACUUAUCGUAUUAAUGAUAUAGUAAUUGAUAGUAUUAAUAUUUACUUGAUUACUUAUGAAGAAAUAUAUAUUUUAAGAAAGGAAAAUGCUCUUCUCAAAAGCAAAGAAAACAUAUUUCAAUGUUUUCAAACAAUCCAUUACGGCUUUUUUGACUUAAUAGCUCUUGAUAAAACUUUACAAUCAUAUCCCCCGAAGAUAUGUCUAAUACCUACAAAGGAUAAUCGUGUUGAAGAAAUGUUAAUAACUGCAGACAGCAUUAAGGUGAACCUUCCGGAGCCGAAUCUCACUGACGAAUGUAAAAAGUACAAUUUUAUUUUUAUAUAUGACAUCUUUGUGAGUUAUUUAAAAUGUUUAGACAAUGAUCUCAACGAAUUCAAGGAAUUUCGUGUCCAAACGUACGAACGGCAGUACGAAUUCCAAAAUUUGACGCAGUUGACAGAAUACACGUUAAAGCUGGCAUUGAGAAUUUCUAACACCUACAAGAUAUCGCUGGAUUUGCAAUUCGGCCCAGAUGUAAAACUGAUAACUACGGGCAAGCUCUAUGCACCGGAUGAUGUAGUAGUUCAAGUUGUAAUGCCAAAUCUGGCGGUAAUUGAUUGGAUGCCACCGAAAAAAUUAAAUUGCGUGGCAGUGAAUUAUGAGGUAAAAUUGGUAGAAUAUCCAAAUAACACUCAAGAAAAUCAAAAUUCGGUUCGCUCAAUAAAAGUCAAUAAACUAGAAAGUACGACAAAUGGCAAGUUUUUCGCGGUAAUUCCGUCACUGAUACCAAAGCAAAAAUACGAGAUAUACGUGAGUGUGUAUCCAACCAUUCGGACAGAUGUCGUCACUGACAGUGUAAUAAAAACAGUCUACAUGUCCGAACCAAAUAAUUUAAGUUUGAAUGGGAUCGAUACAAACAGUAUGAAUAUCUCGUGGAUUCCAAGCGUUAAUCUGACGAUUCCUACUGAAUUCCUUAUACUAGAAUACAAAAAUGCUGCGUCACGAAAGAGGAUAUGGGAAAUUGCGAAUAAUAUUAAGGGGAAUAAUGAUAAAAUAACAUAUCACAUAGAAAAUUUAUUGCCGCAAACUAAGUACAAAUUUCGUUUGAACUUAAAAUAUACUGAGUAUAAAAAAAUUUCACAUGGCCGUCUGAUGGAAAAGAAUUUAUUUUUGGAACGCUCGGUGAUGCAAGAAAGAUUCCUAGCGCAACUGGGACAGCUAUGCAAUAUUAUCUGCCAUUAAUAUUAUGUCUUAUUGUAAUCAUUGUAAUAUACAAUGUUUACUACUUUUAUUGUACAUACAGGCAACGCAAAAGAAGUAACGAAAUAGUUUCGCCUCCAAUAAUGAUCAAUACGGAAUUAG